AGCUUGGUGGCCUAGCGGAAGGGCGUUGGGCUCAUACUUUUACAAGCAAGAAACCCGAAAGUCGCUGGAUCGAAACCAGUCCCAGCUA